CUGGCUCAGGAUGAACGCUGGCGGCGUGCUUAACACAUGCAAGUCGAACGCUGAAGCUCCCAGCUUGCUCGGGGUGGAUGAGUGGCGAACGGGUGAGUAUCACGUGAGUAACCUGCCCUUGACUCUGGGAUAAGCCCGGGAAACUGGGUCUAAUACUGGAUAGGACUGGCCAUCGCAUGGUGGUUGGUUGAAAGCUUUUGCGGUUUUGGAUGGACUCGCGGCCUAUCAGCUUGUUGGUGGGGUAAUGGCCUACCAAGGCUUUGACGGGUAGCCGGCCUGAGAGGGUGACCGGCCACACUGGGACUGAGACACGGCCCAGACUCCUACGGGAGGCAGCAGUGGGGGAUAUUGCACAAUGGGCGCAAGCCUGAUGCAGCGACGCCGCGUGAGGGAUGACGGCCUUCGGGUUGUAAACCUCUUUCAGUUGGGAAGAAGCCUUUCGGGGUGACGGUACCUUCAGAAGAAGCACCGGCUAACUACGUGCCAGCAGCAGC
rnacentral:rRNA from 1 species